UGCGUAGGUGGUUAUUUAAGUCUGUUGUGAAAGCCCUGGGCUCAACCUGGGAACUGCAGUGGAAACUGGACGACUAGAGUGUGGUAGAGGGUAGCGGAAUUCCUGGUGUAGCAGUGAAAUGCGUAGAGAUCAGGAGGAACAUCCAUGGCGAAGGCAGCUACCUGGACCAACACUGACACUGAGGCACGAAAGCGUGGGGAGCAAACA
rnacentral:rRNA from 1 species